UGCAUAUCAAAAAAGCGGAGGAAAAGAAACCAACAGGGAUUGCCUCAGUAACGGCGAGUGAAGCGGCAAAAGCUCAAAUUUGAAAUCCCCCGGGAAUUGUAAUUUGAAGAGAUUUGGGUCCGGCCGGCGGGGGUUAAGUCCACUGGAAAGUGGCGCCACAGAGGGUGACAGCCCCGUGAACCCCUUUAACGCCCUCAUCCCAGAUCUCCAAGAGUCGAGUUGUUUGGGAAUGCAGCUCUAAGUGGGUGGUAAAUUCCAUCUAAAGCUAAAUACCGGCGAGAGACCGAUAGCGAACAAGUACAGUGAUGGAAAGAUGAAAAGCACUUUGAAAAGAGAGUGAAAAAGUACGUGAAAUUGUUGAAAGGGAAGGGCUUGCAAGCAGACACUUAACUGGGCCAGCAUCGGGGCGGCGGGAAACAAAACCACCGGGGAAUGUACCUUUCGAGGAUUAUAACCCCGGUCUCAAUUUCCUUGUUGCCCCGAGGCCUGCAAUCUAAGGAUGCUGGCGUAAUGGUUGCAAGUCGCCCGUCUUGAAACC
rnacentral:rRNA from 1 species